GCCACCUUAGCUCAGCUGGUUAGAGCAUCGGUUUUGUAAACCGAGGGUCCGGAGUUCGAAUCUCCGAGGUGGCUCCA
rnacentral:tRNA from 1 species